rnacentral:rRNA from 1 species
CCCCUAGAUGUUCUGGGCCGCACGCGCGCUACACUGAACAGUUCAACAAGUCUUAACCUUGGCCGAUAGGUCUGGGUAAUCUUUGAACGCUGUUCGUGAUUGGGAUAGACCUUUGCAAUUAUGGGUCUUCAACGAGGAAUUCCUAGUAAACGCAAGUCAUCAGCUUGCAUUGAUUACGUCCCUGCCCUUUGUACACACCGCCCGUCGCUCCUACCGAUUGAAUGGUCCGGUGAAAAUUUCGGAUAGUGGCGAUGCUGGCGGUUCGCCGCCGGCGCUGCCGCUAGAAGAUCUUUAAACCUUAUCAUUUAGAGGAAGGAGAAGUCGUAACA